rnacentral:rRNA from 1 species
AGAGUUUGAUCAUGGCUCAGAUUGAACGCUGGCGGCAUGCGUAACACAUGCAAGUCGAACGGUGUUUGGUGCUUGCACCAGACAUAGUGGCGGACGGGUGAGUAAUGCGUAGGAAUCUGUCUUAGAGAGGGGGACAACCCGAGGAAACUUGGGCUAAAACCGCAUAUUCUCGAGAGAGGAAAGCAGGGGACCGGAAACGGCCUUGUGCUCUAAGGUGAGCCUACGUCGGAUUAGCUAGUUGGUAGGGUAAAAGCCUACCAAGGCGAUGAUCUGUAGCUGGUCUGAGAGGACGGACAGCCACACUGGGACUGAGACACGGCCCAGACUCCUACGGAGGCAGCAGUGGGGAAUAUUGGACAAUGGGGGGAACCCUGAUCCAGCGAUGCCGCGUGUGUGAAGAAGGCCUGCGGGUUGUAAAGCACUUUCAGUGGGAAAGAGAAGCGUCUUGUGAAUAAUGGGACGUGGAGACGUUACUCACAGAAGAAGCACCGGCUAACUCUGUG